rnacentral:rRNA from 1 species
UACGGAGGGGGCUAGCGUUGUUCGGAAUUACUGGGCGUAAAGCGCACGUAGGCGGACGCUUAAGUCAGGGGUGAAAUCCCGGGGCUCAACCCCGGAACCGCCUUUGAUACUGGGUGUCUGGAGGUCGAGAGAGGUGAGUGGAAUUCCGAGUGUAGAGGUGAAAUUCGUAGAUAUUCGGAGGAACACCAGUGGCGAAGGCGGCUCACUGGCUCGAUACUGACGCUGAGGUGCGAAAGCGUGGGGAGCAAACAGG